rnacentral:lncRNA from 1 species
AUAAAUACAGAAGGGGCAGUUAACUAUUUAGCCCAAUUACGAGUACAUCCAAUCACAUACUCGAGUCGUCAGCAUCUGCUAAAUUAUUAAUUCAGAAUAAAGCGGUAAAAUUCUGUACAAGUUUGAUGAUUCAGACAAAGGUCUCAAAGCUUGUGAAGCAGGCGUCUUCAGGCCAAAGAUAGGUCUUCAUGCUUCAAUGCAACCUCACUUGCGACCCAACCUUGCCAAAUGCUGCUGAUGCUUUGCAGCAGCUGCUUUAUCAGCAGCUUCACGCUUCAGAGCCCUUUUAGCCCUUCGGCCCACUGCUGGCGACUCUCUUGCAGCUGCAGUUUCUUUCUUUCUAGGCUGGCGAGAUGGUCCCGCACCAGAGUCUUGGGUAUUGGGGCGAGGAAUUGGCCUAGCUUCCUGCCUUCCUGCUCGAACAUAACCAUUGUCCCCCCAUCUUCUGU